rnacentral:rRNA from 1 species
AUUGAACGCUGGCGGCAGGCCUAACACAUGCAAGUCGAACGCGUGGCGGACGGGUGAGUAAUGUCUGGGAAACUGCCUGAUGGUGGGGGAUAACUACUGGAAACGGUAGCUAAUACCGCAUACCAUCAGAUGUGCCCAGAUGGGAUUAGCUAGUAGGUGGGGUAAGGGCUCACCUAGGCGACGAUCCCUAGCUGGUCUGAGAGGAGGACCAGGCACACUGGAACGGAGACAAGGCCCAGACUACUACGGGAGGCAGCAGUGGGGAAUAUGGCACAAUGGGAGGAAGCCUGAUGCAGCCAUGCCGCGUGGCUGAAGAAGGCAUUCGGGUUGUAAAGUACUUUCAGCGUGGAGGCGUUACCCUCAGAAGAAGCACCGGCUAACUCCGUGCCAGCAGCCGCGGUAAUAC